rnacentral:rRNA from 1 species
GGUACACGAGCGGCGAACGGGUGAGUAACACGUGGGUGAUCUGCCUCGCACUCUGGGAUAAGCCUGGGAAACUGGGUCUAAUACCGGAUAUGACCUUACAUCGCAUGGUGUUUGGUGGAAAGAUUUAUCGGUGCGAGAUGGGCCCGCGGCCUAUCAGCUUGUUGGUGGGGUAAUGGCCUACCAAGGCGACGACGGGUAGCCGGCCUGAGAGGGCGACCGGCCACACUGGGACUGAGACACGGCCCAGACUCCUACGGGAGGCAGCAGUGGGGAAUAUUGCACAAUGGGCGAAAGCCUGAUGCAGCGACGCCGCGUGAGGGAUGACGGCCUUCGGGUUGUAAACCUCUUUCGACAGGGACGAAGCGCAAGUGACGGUACCUGUAGAAGAAGCACCGGCCAACUACGUGCCAGCAGCCGCGGUAAUACGUAGGGUGCGAGCGUUGUCCGGAAUUACUGGGCGUAAAGAGCUUGUAGGCGGCUUGUCGCGUCGAUCGUGAAAACUUGGGGCUCAACCCCAAGCUUGCGGUCGAUACGGGCAGGCUUGAGUACUUCAGGGGAGACUGGAAUUCCUGGUGUAGCGGUGAAAUGCGCAGAUAUCAGGAGGAACACCGGUGGCGAAGGCGGGUCUCUGGGAAGUAACUGACGCUGAGAAGCGAAAGCGUGGGUAGCGAACAGGAUUAGAUACCCUGGUAGUCCACGCCGUAAACGGUGGGUACUAGGUGUGGGUUUCCUUCCACGGG